rnacentral:rRNA from 1 species
AUUGAACGCUGGCGGCAUGCUUUACACAUGCAAGUCGAACGGCAGCGCGGGCUUCGGCCUGGCGGCGAGUGGCGAACGGGUGAGUAAUGCAUCGGAACGUGCCCAGUAGUGGGGGAUAGCCCGGCGAAAGACGGAUUAAUACCGCAUACGACCUGAGGGUGAAAGCGGGGGAGCGAAAGGCCUCGCGCGAUUGGAGCGGCCGAUGUCGGAUUAGCUAGUUGGUGGGGUAAAGGCUUACCAAGGCGACGAUCCGUAGCUGGUCUGAGAGGACGACCGCCCACACUGGGACUGAGACACGGCCCAGACUCCUACGGGACGCAGCAGUGGGGAAUUUUGGACAAUGGGGGCAACCCUGAUCCAGCCAUGCCGCGUGCGGGAAGAAGGCCUUCGGGUUGUAAACCGCUUUUGUUCGGGAAGAAAUCCUCUGGGCUAAUACCCCGGGGGGAUGACGGUACCGGAAGAAUAAGCACCGGCUAACUACGUG